UACGCGCGCCACCGCGCGGGGGAGGCGAGGCCAGAGGGUCCGCGCCGCCGCAGCCGCCGCCUUGGCCCCGGGCUACGUCAAGUGACUUUGACGGAGGCCGAGGGGAGACCCGGGGCCGCCAGGGUCCCAGGAGGACGCUGAGGCUGUUGGAGGUCAGAGGCGGAGAAAAGAGAACCGAGACUGCCAGCGGCCGGGAACUAUUUGGGAAAUAGAGGAAGAAAGAGAGAAAGAGACUUCCCCUCCAAGUUGUUUGGUGGACUGUCCCAGAAACAAAGGACCAAACCAUGAGGAUAAUACACGAGGACAUCGGUUAGGUCUGAAGAAAUGGAGUAGAAACACCUGAAGUGGCCGUUGAAGACACGCAAUGGGACUUCAAGGGAGAGAAGUCUUCCCUGACUUCUUAACCAUGCCACAGAACAGCAGACCUCUUUUAAAGAUGGAGAUCAAGAAAUACAGUGCUUGACUUCCAAAUUUAAAGAAAACCAUGGGUGAACAAGUGGUAUUACUUGGCUAUCUGUAAGGGUUGUAUGGUCUCGUUGGGCAGGAAGGAUAUGAAAAGAAGGCAGGAUUUUUUUUUAAUCAAGUUCCAACUUCUUUGGAACUCCUUGGAAAAUAUAUUGAAAUAAAAUAAUUGCUCAAUCUGA